GUUUAUAUAGUUUAAUAAAAAAACCCCUUAUUUUCAAUAAGGAAAUAAGAAUUUAUUCUUUGUAAAUA
rnacentral:tRNA from 1 species